UUGUAAUUACUUUUGUGCAAGCUGGGAAAGGUUCUACAGCUUUAAGGACCCAUGCGAUUCAACUGGGACCACUGGGAUAAUCCAGCUGCUUAAACAGUGUCCUCAAGUUCCUGUUUACUCUAGGCCAUCAAUAUUGGGAUGAUGAUGAUGACAACAAUGACAAUGAAGAUGAUGAUGGCGUCCAUCCAAUAAAAAUCAAGAGAGAGUAUUAGAGGUGAUCCAAAACUCACAUCUGACAGAGAAGUAGCCAGAGGCCCUUUAAAAAUGAAGCCUGCCUGAAAAUUGAGAGAAAGGACUCCAACCCCAAACUAGGACAUGCCAAGACAGAAAAUAAGACAAUUUGACCACAGAGGCAGCGAUUGGAGUGAUGCUGCCGCAACUCAAGGAAAGCCAGAAGCCAUCAGAUGCUGGAAGAGGCAAGGGAAGGAUUCACCAGUGAACUAUAGGAAGGUCCUGAAAGGGAAAAGGUAUAGCCUAAGUAAGAAGACCACAAGAAGUGAUUGCCUAAUAUGAACAACAUUUUCCUUGGGAACAUUUGUGGGAACUGUAGAACAGUGUGGCUGCCUAAAAAGACAAGUAAUAGAUGGAGUUCACAACAGGCUAACAAGAGGAAGGCAAAUUUUUCUUCUACCAUGAUGAUGGAAGACACAUAACUGCUUUAUGGAGUUUGAGCUUGCUUCCAACAGGGAAGGUAAAUGAAGUUUUUUAUGGUUUGGAUCUUUGGAGAACAUCAGAAAAAGACUGUCCUUGCCAUCCACACUCCAACAAAACUUCGGGACCUUGAACUUUGGAUUCAUAAUCUCACAACUGAGAAGGGUACCUCCACACUCCUGGAACUGUAUACCCAUUGGAACACAUAAGGUUUAAAUGCUUGCAUGCAGCCAUCUCUAAGAUGUCAAAUUGUCUCUCUUCAACUGGAAUGGCAAGAACUAAAAGAAGUGUGCAACCAUGAGGACACCAUAACCUAUGAAUGGCAUGCCGAGACCAGAAACCCAAAAUGAUGGUAACUGAGAGUGACGCUAAGGCCUGAUUUUUGGUCACACUCUUACCUAAGUGGGAACUUGACCAAAAAGAGGGAAUUUUUAAAAACAAAAUUAUGGGAGGCCAUUGUUUUGGACUAAGCUCAUGCACUAGGCCCCAACAGACCAAACCAAAACAAAUGAAGUCACUUGUGCUGAGAAUUUAAGGAACACAUACAUUCUAGAACAGAGAAGGUUUUGUUUUUCUCUCCUGCAAACUUCUAUAACAAACAUUCCUGAGAGCAUAGGUAUCCAACCCCUGAUGUUCCCAUUAAAUCUUUUAACCAAAUUCAUUUCCUCUCACCUAGAAAUCACCAAGCUUCAGAUAAUUAUGCAACAAAGGUUCCAGCCAGUUCCAAGUGAAAACACCACCCCUCGGCAUCCAGAAGCUACCCUGCCUUCACUAGAAAGAGCAGGGCAAGAGUUCCAUGAUCUCUAAUAGGUAUGUGUCAGGCCUCUGAGCCCACGCUAAGUCAUCAUAUCCCUUGUGACCUGCACAAAUACAUCCAGAUGGCCUGAAGCAAGUGAAGAAUCACAAAAGAAGUGAAAAUGGCUGGUUCCCGCCUUAACUUGGUGACAUUUCACCAUUGUGAUUUGUUCCUGCCCCACCUUAACUGAGCAACUAACCUUGUGAAAUUCCUUAUCCUGGCUCAGAAGCUCCCCCACUGUGCACCCUGUGACCCCCACCCCUGCCUGCAGGAGAAAAACCCCCUUUGACUGUAAUUUUCCACUACCCACCCAAAGCCUAUAAAAUGGCCACAACCCUAUCUCCCUUUACUGACACUCUUUUCAUACUCAUCCCACCUGCACCGAGGUGAUUAAAAAGCUUUAUUGCUCACCCAAAGCCUGUUUCGUGGUCUCUUCACAGGGACAUGUGUGACAGUAGGGACUACGCCCCAAGCCAGGAUGAAGCAGGUACAGAAGAAAGACCAUAGGUUCCUCUGUCUCCCAUAAAGAUUUAUGGGGAUCACAUCUCUCACUGGGGGAAUAAAGCAAGAAAAUAGGGUCUGGAGGCAGGGAACAUAAGGCUAAUUUACACUUCAUCUAUGACAGAAAAUAUCCUCUUCAUAGGGUGUAUGCUGAGUAAAUAAUUUUGUAACUUUACUUCUCCCUUUUUGUUUAUAUAGGGUGUUCACCAAGUAACCAAUAGAAUCCUCUAGUGGUUAUUUAAACCCUGCCAAAUUCCAUAAUUGGGCCCUUGAGCCCCUAGGCUUGGGCCCACUCCAACACUGUGGAGUGUACUUUCAUUUUCAAUAAAUCUCUGCGUUUGUUGCUUCAUUCUUUCCUUGUUUUGUUUGUGUGUUUUGUCCAAUUCUUUGUUUAAGAUGCUAAGAACCUGGACACCCUCCAUCACUACCACUUGC
rnacentral:lncRNA from 10 species